UACGUAGGGUGCGAGCGUUGUCCGGAAUUACUGGGCGUAAAGAGCUCGUAGGUGGUUUGUCGCGUUGUUCGUGAAAACUCACAACUCAAUUGUGGGCGUGCGGGCGAUACGGGCAGACUGGAGUACUGCAGGGGAGACUGGAAUUCCUGGUGUAGCGGUGAAAUGCGCAGAUAUCAGGAGGAACAUCAGUGGCGAAGGCGGCCUGCUGGGCUGUUGCUGACGCUGAGGCGCGCAGCGUGGGGAGCAACCAGG
rnacentral:rRNA from 1 species